rnacentral:rRNA from 1 species
AUUGAACGCUGGCGGCAUGCCUUACACAUGCAAGUCGAACGGCAGCACGGGGCAACCUGGUGGCGAGUGGCGAACGGGUGAGUAAUGCAUCGGAACGUGCCAUUGAGUGGGGGAUAACGUAGCGAAAGUUGCGCUAAUACCGCAUAUUCUGUGAGCAGGAAAGCAGGGGACCGCAAGGCCUUGCGCUCUUUGAGCCGCCGAUGUCAGAUUAGCUAGUUGGUGAGGUAACGGCUUACCAAGGCGACGAUCUGUAGCGGGUCUGAGAGGAUGACCCGCCACACUGGAACUGAGACACGGUCCAGACUCCUACGGGAGGCAGCAGUGGGGAAUUUUGGACAAUGGGCGCAAGCCUGAUCCAGCCAUGCCGCGUGAGUGAAGAAGGCC